UUAAUAAUUGAUGAACAAUCAAAGUUGCACGGUGCUAUUGGUAUGACAAACUACUGGGAAGCUGCGCUAAAAGUAGGUCUGUCUUGGUAGUUCUGUAUUUCCCUCAUCCUAGUGCACUGGUUCUGGGAAGCCAGCACUAUUUUUCUCCUGUGAAUUUAUUAAUGAUAAAUGCUCUAUCACGCGGUGUUUUGCUUUUUGAAACUAGCCUUGAGCUAGGUCACACAGGGCAUAGAGAAGAGCACAGAACAGGCAGCAUCAGAAGUUUAUUUUCUGUAACAUUUUGUGAGAGAGAGUGAGGCAAGAGCUUCCAGCAAUGUAGGGAUUUCCCUGAUUUGAUACCAUUAGCAUUCAUCAUACACUUGGGUGUAUGGCAGCAGCUAGUCUGGAGGGACUUCCCCUCCCUUGAGUUUACCAUGGUCUCCAGGCAACAGCAAAUAUUUCUCCUGAAUACUCUGGAUGAGCAGAUGCCAACGUUGAUUCACAGGAAAAGGAUGUAGCCACGCAAGCCAUAGAAAUGUUGUUUGGGAUGGUAGCCACAGCCCCUAAGGAGACAUUAAGCAAUGUGGAACAAACGCCAAUGAAGUUAUUUCUUGAAGCUCUUGCUUUGUUUGCUAUAAAGAGAUUUCUUGAGCAGUCUUA